rnacentral:rRNA from 1 species
UACAGAGGGUGCGAGCGUUAAUCGGAAUUACUGGGCGUAAAGCGUGCGUAGACGGCUAUCUAAGUCGGGUGUGAAAGCCCCGGGCUCAACCUGGGAAUUGCAUUCGAGACUGAAUAGCUAGGGUACGGUAGAGGGAAGCGGAAUUUCCGGUGUAGCGGUGAAAUGCGUAGAUAUCAGGAGGAACACCGAUGGCGAAGGCAGGUCUCUGGACCACUACUGACGCUGAGACGCGAAAGCGUGGGGAGCAAACAGG